AUAGUUCAUUAGGGUACGAGAAUUUUAGAAAAGAAUUUGGGAAGUUAAAUGAGGCAUAAAUCUUAAAUUAGUGUUAAUAUGGACUAUAGAUCUAAGACUUUCUAACUCUUUAAAUUAGAGUUAUUUAUUUUAAUGUAAAAUUAAUAUAUAGUAUUGUGAAAUAAUUAUGUAGAUUAUAUUGACAAAGAUAGUGGUGAAAAAGGAGUUGUGAAGGGGAACUUGUUAUUCAAGACACAAGGAGCGAGUCCGGCCGAGAAAGCACCAGAGGUGUAACUAUGGUGUAUGAGACACCAUCUUUUACGUUGCCUCUUAUUUUGGAUUAUACAAUGUAUCUUGUGCCAACUUAGGACAUAUCUUCUUUGUGAAGCAUGUAAACUCUAAUCCUUUUUAUUAAAAGUAUUUAUAUGACCAAGAGGAUUAUAUCUGUC